ensembl:lncRNA
CAAUGGAAGCACUUUAUUUGGUUUAAUUCCAUCUCCAGAGACACAGGGGCCAUUCCAGAACCUUUACAACGGCAAUGGGCCAUCACAACACCGAAAUGCCUCCAAAGUGUAGAAUUCGUGCCAUACACACAAAUAAACCCUGAAGUUUAGCGGUUGCCCAAGAUCAGGUUAAAACAGAAAUUUGGAUCACUUCUUCAAGAGGUUUUCUGAUGACAGAAGCACAGGAGGCAGAGCCAUUAGGAAGCGUGAAAUCGACUUCUCUGGGAAAAUACUUAACAUCAGCAUAACUUUUUCAUGUUCGGUUAACUUUUCCUCAGUAAUUACAGAUGUGACCAAACGGCCUUAGAGGCCUCCGCGCUACCGCUGGGAGACAGGCUCCUCUGUCUAACAACCUGAAAGCUUCAAGAUGAUCUGAUAAAAACCCAAAGGAAAAAAAUCCCAUUACAACUUCCCAUGCCUUUUUCUUGCUUUCCAUCCUGCAAAGGAAAAAUUGGGUAAAUGACAAGUUCCUCUCUCUCUCUCUCUUUUUUUUUAAGUUAUUUUAAGGGCAGCUUCUUCAAAAAAAUGAGUCAUUCUUACAACAAUGUUCUAGCAUCGGAGGAGAAAUGACGGGCAGCGGAGACGAGGGAGGGCUGAGAAGCACGUGAGAAAUUCCAGGUUCUACUCUAAGUGAACUGCUCCGUAAUAAUAUAUAGAUGAUUUCACAGUAGGAUUCCCAGAGAAAAUGGUAAUAUCUCAACUAUCCUAUAAUAACUUAUUUCCUCUAAUAAGCUCAGCUGAUACAGGCCUGCCCUCUCCCCAUUGCCACACAGACGGUGGAGAAGUUACCAAAGUUAACAUUGAAAAGCACUUGUUAUCCAUUCCUUUUUGGACGCAAGUGGUACAGGAGAGAAAAAAAAAAAAAAAAGGCACAGGGAACACAAGAGGAUACCAGCAUACUCUAUAUUGGGUUUAAUGGACACCAAAAAGAACAAAUUACUGCAGCUUAUAUCUUUUCCUCUAUGUUGGAAAACAUUAAUCUAUCCUGGCCCCUAAUAGGAAAGACGCAAUGCACAUGCAUUACCGAGGUUCUAAAAUCAGAUUUAAAAAAAACAAAACAAAACAUUUAGCAUCCUUGUGGAGUGGAGAGUGGGCAGCUUGACUUGGUGAAAUUCAGAAGUUCCUGGAGACAUCUGGCCACCCCACUGACAGAGGAGCCUUUGGUGGGGCCACUGGGACGGCCCGUAGGGACCGCGCCCCUGCUGGUUUGCAGGGACACAGGUGAGGCCCUGACUCUACUCGCCUUUUGGCCUCCUGGCUUCACUGUCAUCAGCCAAGAUGGUCUUCUCUCAACCGAGGAGCAUGCGAGGAUGGGCCCCCCCCACCCCACCCCCGGAGGUGCUGAUGGAGCAGUGCCCAGAUGCCCACGGCUGGGGAAGAAAGAGUGAAAGAGAAUUCAGGCUCGCUUGCUCGAAUCGGAAGCCACUUCCUCUUCCCCUGUUUGUUCCUGGCGUUCGCUGGCUGGGGGGCUCUUGCCAACCAGGGGUUAACUGAGCCGCUCCCGGAGGCUGGAGUGUGGUCAACCCUGGGGUUUGCUGAAAGGAACCCUUUUCCUACCCCUGAACGAAGGCCCAACCCUCAGGACCUGUCCUUUCUGUCCCUGUCCCUUGGGCUCCUCUAAGACCUGGUCUUAGAGUCGCAAGUAUUGGGGAGCCCUGGGCGUCCCCCAGGUGACCGCGUGGUUACCGAAAGCCGAACAAAAGGAGAAAGACGCCCAAGUGCAUCGCUGGGCUUCUGACGGCAUCGUGUUCCAGAAACUCACAGCCAAGGAUCUCCCUUGACUGUUUCUGCACCAGGAAAGGAGAGAAGCGACUCUAAGGCAUGAGUGGCCACGGGCUCCAUGACCUCACGUUUCCUCAAAGAUCCGUAAGAGGAAGGAAAUUUAGCUCAAAACCAAACUCGAUGAAUUCCGCGUGGCCCGGAGAGCACGUGGUAAAAUGCAGACGCUCCAACCACACGAUCACUUGAUGGGACCACGAGAAGCAGGGGGUCUUUGGUGAGGAAAGCACUAGAACGCUACGACGCGGGAGUUGGAGAUGGUGGAAAGGGGGGGCGUUUGCCCUUGGCAAUGAGCUAAUGCAGAGCUGAGACGCUCGGUCACGAGCUGCCCUUCCCGCGAACAGGGGGACCUCGGGGCGAAGUGGGCUGGCACCUUCCUUGACCCCAUGGAAGGUGGACACGGGCAAGACUGCGGCGCUGGCCCAAGAGCUGGAAUUUUACGUAUAUGUUUUUGGUCUUUUUACAAAAGCUGGAAUUUGACUUCCGGGGUGGACUCUUCCAGACAGAGCCCAAACAGCAUGUGUGUGUGCAUGUGUGUGUGUGUGUGUGUGUGCGCUCCACGGACACUCUCAGGCCGGGAAACGCUGCAAGGGCCAACGUUUAGUAAGAGGUGAGGACCCACAGUCAGAAAGGGACCCCUGGCUCCUCACAGGCCUUGGGAAGAGACGAGUAUUUUCUAACGGGAGCACAUCGGGGACCGGGGCGCCCAGUCACCCUGGCGCAGGCCCGGCCCUCCUUGUCCAGAUUCUGUUGGUCUCCCCAGGAGACCAGUGGCAAAGUUUUUGCAAAAGGCACAGUGUGAACCCUGGACGGGCCGGGAUGCGCCCGGUGGACUGAGGGCCGAGGCACGGCCCCUGGGGAAGGAGGGACCACGCGUGAGGGCUGGGGGACCAGGACAGGGACAGACCUGCCACCUGCAGAGGUGGCCGCCCUGGGCCAGGGGAGGAGCUGGGCCACGAGGAACAUGCUGUCAAAAAAGAAAGAAAGAAACAAAGAGCGAAAAAGGCAAGCGGCUGCACGGCGUGGGGACGUCACUUCAGGCGGAGGUUCCGAGGGCCACACUGUGCCAGCCCAGCCCCAGGCGGUCUGUUCCCCGGGUGCCCAGGCCUGUGGAGGCAAGCGGACCGAAGGGUUUCUCCUGGGAGGGCUCACCCGAGGCUCUGGCUCCCGGAACCACCUUUAGGAAUCUAGAACACAAAAGAAAGACAAAGAAGAAGGCAGUUAGAGAGGUGGCCGCAGGGCAGGGGCGGGCACCAGUCCUCCAGGCAGAGGGCACCGCCCUGGGUGAGGGGAGCAGGGGGCCUUUUCAGAGCCGUGGUUGCCCCAGGGCAUGUCUCAGACAAGGAACUUUCACGGUUUUCUGCCCUCAGAGCCAAGUCUUUCCUUGGGGGGAAGGGGAGCCCCCAUGCAGCCCAGCUUGUCUUGCCAAUAAGUUGGGUCCUGAGACGCAGAAGGAAACCAGCUUCCCAGGCGAGGCCAGGAUGCCAAAGGUCCGGCUCUCUCCCCGCGACCCAAAGACACCCCCCCCCCACCGGGUCUUUGACAGCGAGACACAAAAUCUUGGGUGAAAAGGAAAACCGGCCGCUUGGAAUUUACUCAGCAAGAAACAGUGAAAGUUCUUUAUCUGGAAGGGGGAGAAGAGAGACAGACUUUUAAAGCCCAGGAGGUGCAAACGGGGUGAGAAGUAGAAGGUGGUGUCAUCACACAAGGGGCAAAGGGCAGAUUUUUGCUGUUGUUUAAAAAGCAUUUGGCAAGAGAAUCCCCCAUGAUUGAAGACAAGAGGGUUAAAUGCUCAUUUUACACAGAAUCAUUUUCUUGGAGAAGUGAAACAUCAUUUAAAAUACACAACACUGAGAAAAACACAGCGUUUAUUAGAGAGGCAGACACGAGGGUACAACUAAAAGGUGCCGGACAGAUUCUUUUCUCGGAGGACCGGGAGCGAGAGGAGCAGUCACGGUGGCCGUGUUCCAACACAACUUACUCAGAACCCAAGCGUCUAUACCCUUAACUCAGGGUGGCUCGGCAGGGGACCUAGCUACCCGUGUAACCGUCCUUCUGGCUUCCCCAGCGGUUACAAAACCCAAAACGUCAUUAGGCAGCAGAAUCACCCAUAAAACAAACAGAUAAAAGAGGAACACGUUAAAACAACGAAUUCAAGUAACCCCUCUGGUUUUUAAAUCGCAGUAUAUACAGUGGGGGUGGGGGUGGCGGUUAGGGACAUAUUUAACAGCGAGCAAUUAAAAAAAAAAAAAAAGCAAAAACAAAAUCAUAAAGAAGACAGCACAAUCCAGUCCACCCAUCAGAACUGACUGUAGCCUAUUUAGGCAAUUAUUAAAUAGUCACUUGGUACACACACACACACACACACACACACACACAACGUGCACCUGCAUUACCGAGAGUAAAACAAUCCUUUUGAGUGACAGGCUGACGUCAAAAAGCAGCAGCCCUGCCUGCCUGGGAUGGGCUCGGGGGCAGGGGCAGUGUUUGCGGGGCAGGCUGCACAGAUUUAUACACGAGGGAGCGAGGCAAGGCUUCUACCUACGUGAUUCACCUCGAAGUAGAUCUUUCAAUAAAAAGAGAAACUUGAUACACAAGCUGCGACUUGGCUCAUUUUAUUUUAACAGAUAACUGUUGGAAGCAACGUAUCCUUUGGGUGGAAAAGGGAAUUCCCAAUUCCCUGGGGAAUCAUGUCAAUACUUUGCUAAUCCUUGACUCGAUGCGUUGACUUGAUGGCAUUCAACCUACAAAAUAUCUUUCCCCGUUGAGUCACUAUUACACAGAUUCAUCUGGGAAAGGUACUGAGGCGUGUAACUUAAAAUCAUGACAUGACUGAUGGGCCCGAACCACCCUGCCCAGCCCUGAAAACCAGCUGAGCUAUUUUCUGAAUCAGACGUGCACAGCAUUUCAGAGGAAUGAAAAAAAAAAAAAAAAGCAAAAACAAACAUACAAACCCCCCCAAAACAAACAAAAAACCCCUACUUUAAUGGAAUGCCGCACUUUUUAAGCCAGGCUUUUAAAAGACUAAUGCUUUGCCUCAUUUUAAGGCUUUGGCCGUGUUUAGUUUGCCUUCUUUAGUAAUUCGUAGUCAGGAAGUGAGUUCAUCAUGGGAUAGAAAGUUGGGGGUUACUAUCUUAGGUCUCCCCAUCUCUGUUACACGUCCAAAGCUGUGACCACCUACUGCUCAUUAAAACAAAUCUGUGUGGGAGUUCCCGUCGUGGCGCAGUGGUCAACGAAUCUGACUAGGAACCAUGAGGUUGUGGGUUCGGUCCCUGCCCUUGCUCAGUGGAUUAAGGAUCCGGCGUUGCCGUGAGCUGUGGUGUAGGUCGCAGACUCGGCUCGGAUCCUGCGUUGCUGUGGCUCUGGCCUAGGCCGGUGGCUACAGCUCUGAUUCGACCCCUAGCCUGGGUACCUCCAUAUGCCGCGAGAGUGGCCCAAGAAAUGCCAAAAAGACAAAAAAAAAUAAAAAUAAAAAUAAAAAAUCCAUGUGGCUUAAAGGUCAAAAAAAUGCACAAGCAAUCUGAGUUUCGAAAUGUUAUUUAAAAACCAGGCUGGCCAGUGUCGGCUUCCCGCUUUUGCUAUUGGAUUAAAACUGUGUCAGAUGUAACCACGGUGGGGAGCUGGUGAAAGGGGUCUCUCGGUCCUACCUCUGCAACUUCCUGAGAAUCCACGGUGAUUUUAGGAUAAGAAGUGUUUUAAAAACCGGGAAGGCAUUAAGUUACUAAGUUCCAUUUGGAUGCCCUUGGGAAAUGAGACCUUUUUGCUAGAAUCUGCAACAGGUGCCCCUAACUCCUGCCAGGUCCUAGACCCCCGAUGUGUCGCUGUCAGUUUUAAAAUCAGGUUUAAAUUGGCCUUAGCCCCUAAAAGGAGCCCAUGAUGUUAAGAAGCAAGGAG